rnacentral:rRNA from 1 species
AACGAACGCUGGCGGCAUGCCUAACACAUGCAAGUCGAACGAGACCUUCGGGUCUAGUGGCGCACGGGUGCGUAACGCGUGGGAACCUGCCCUUAGGUUCGGAAUAACUCCCCGAAAGGGGUGCUAAUACCGGAUAAUGUCUUCGGACCAAAGAUUUAUCGCCUUUGGAUGGGCCCGCGUUGGAUUAGCUAGUUGGUAGGGUAAAAGCCUACCAAGGCGACGAUCCAUAGCUGGUCUGAGAGGAUGAUCAGCCACACUGGGACUGAGACACGGCCCAGACUCCGACGGGAGGCAGCAGUGGGGAAUAUUGGACAAUGGGCGAAAGCCUGAUCAAGCAAUGCCGCGUGAGUGAUGAAGGCCUUAGGGUUGUAAAGCUCUUUUAGCCGGGAUGAUAAUGACAGUACCGGGAGAAUAAGCUCCGGCUAACUCCGUG